rnacentral:RNase_P_RNA from 1 species
UAAGUAGAAUAAAUGAUCGCGGCUGUACAGACGCAAGGGUACAGGUGAGGAAAGUCCGGGCUUCACAGGGCAGGAUGCCGGAUAACAUCCGGUGGAGGUGACUCCAAGGCUAGUGCAACAGAAAUAAUACUGCUACGCAACGCUGCGUAGUGAUGGUGGAAUGGCAGUGUAAGAGACUACCGCUGCAACGGUAACGGUGCAGGCUGUGUAAACCCCAUCCGAAGCAAGACCAAAACGAAAGCGACAGAUUUGCCCGAUCUGCUUUCAGGUGGGUCGCUUGAGGUAUCCGGUAACGGAUAUCCUAGAUAGAUGAUCAUUCACGACAUAACCCGGCUUAUCGUUCUGCUUAAUUU